GAUGAACGCUAGCGGCAGGCUUAACACAUGCAAGUCGAGGGGCAGCAUGAGACGGAGAUUCGUCGAAGUCUUGAUGGCGACCGGCGCAAGGGUGCGUAACGCGUGAGCAACCUUCCCGUUACUCAGGGAUAGCCUUCCGAAAGGGAGAUUAAUACCUGAUGGUAUUCAAAUUUCGCAUGUUAUUUGAAUUAAAGAUUUAUCGGUAACGGAUGGGGAUGCGUGACAUUAGGUAGAUGGCGGGGUAACGGCCCACCAUGCCUACGAUGUCUAGGGGUUCUGAGAGGAAGGUCCCCCACACUGGAACUGAGACACGGACCAGACUCCUACGGGAGGCAGCAGUAAGGAAUAUUGGGCAAUGGAGGCAACUCUGACCCAGCCAUGCCGCGUGAAGGAUGGAGGCCCUACGGGUCGUAAACUUCUUUUGUCAGGGAAUAAAGUCAUCCACGUGUGGGUGUUUGCAGGUACCUGAAGAAUAAGCAUCGGCUAACUCCGUGCCAGCAG
rnacentral:rRNA from 1 species